AUACGGAGGAUCCGAGCGUUAUCCGGAUUUACUGGGCGUAAAGGGCGUGUAGGCGGUCUUGCAAGUCAGAAGUGAAAUUCCUGAGCUCAACUCGGGCGCUGCUUCUGAAACUGCAGGACUUGAGUGCUGGAGGGGAUAGCGGAAUUCCUAGUGGAGCGGUAAAAUGCGCAGAUAUUAGGAAGAACACCGGUGGCGAAGGCGGCUAUCUGGACAGUAACGGGCUCGGAGGCGCGAAAGCGUGGGGAACAAACAGGAUUAGAUCCCCUGGUAGUCCACGCCGUAAACGAUGAAUACUAGGUGUAGGGGGUAUCGACUCCCUCUGUGCCGCAGUUAACACAAUAAGUAUUCCGCCUGGGGAGUACGGCCGCAAGGUUGAAACUCAAAUGAAUUGGCGGGGG
rnacentral:rRNA from 1 species